rnacentral:rRNA from 1 species
CAGUCGCCGCGGUAAGACGAACCGUGCGAACGUUAUUCGGAAUUACCGGGCUUAAAGCGCGUGUAGGCGGGCCGCCACGUCGGUUGCUGAAAUCCCCCGGCUCAACCGGGGAACGGGCACCGAUACGAGCGGCCUCGAGGGGGGUAGGGGGACCUGGAACUUCCGGUGGAGCGGUGAAAUGCGUUGAGAUCGGAAGGAACGCCCGUGGCGAAAGCGAGGUCCUGGACCCUUUCUGACACUGAGACGCGAAAGCCAGGGGAGCGAACGGGAUUAGAUACCCCUGUAGUCCCUGUCUCUUAUA